CGGGACACCGUGGUCGGGGUCCGCCACGUGCGGCUCUCGGACCCAAAUCCCAGGCGGUUUCCUGAGGCUCCACCCGGACCAGGCAGGGAGGCUGCGGUCACACCUGGGCGUCGUCCCCUCUGUCCCCUGAGACACCUCCCUUGUCCCCCACGCUGUAUCCCAGUGAGGGCAGCAUCCUGUCCCAAACAGCCCUGCCCAGGCCCCUCACACGGAGUCCACCCUGGCCAGAAUCUUCUCGAGGCCGCACUUGCUGACUUCUCUUUGCACAGAAAACCUCCAGAAUGGGAUUUAUUCCUGCCUGCAUUGUUCUUCGUCUUUUCUCCUGGUCGUCCAGAGCCCUGCCCAGAGGACGAGCCUCCUAAAGAUUAAUUCGUAUAAUGAUGUUUCAGAGGACUUGGAGCCGUGUGUGUGUCACAGGAGCAAGAACUGUCUCUACUGGGAAAUACCAUUAAGGAGGAGAAGGCUUCCCUCUGCAUCCUCCUAUUUGCCCACCUGGCUAAUGAAAUGUGGAGCGGCAUGGGAGCACCUCGAAUCUUCACGUACCUCGCUCUUCAGGCUGUCUCCUAGCUUUGCCUGUGCGUGGAAAUGUCAACAAGUAAGAUCAAUGGAGGCAAAAAACCAGGAGAUCCCAUAAAUCCCGUUGAGCCUGUCACAGCUGCCAAAUUAUGCCUUGAUAAAGCUUUUGGUGGCUAACGAUAUGGCCGUUCACCCGGCGUAGAUGCGACUGGGAGGGGGCUUUCUGGAGAGCAUCUGGCCCGCUGUGGAGACACUUGUCAUAGAGCGUUAUCUGAAGGCUCUUUGGCUCUAAUGAAGGGUGAAGCUUUGAAUGUGAUUAUUUCUAAACAAAUAAAUAAUGAGGAUAAUUUAAAAAUAAACAAAG